rnacentral:rRNA from 1 species
CGGCGGACGGGUGAGUAACGCGUGGGUAACCUACCCUGUACACACGGAUAACAUACCGAAAGGUACGCUAAUACGGGAUAAUAUAUUUGAGAGGCAUCUCUUGAAUAUCAAAGGUGAGCCAGUACAGGAUGGACCCGCGUCUGAUUAGCUAGUUGGUAAGGUAACGGCUUACCAAGGCGACGAUCAGUAGCCGACCUGAGAGGGUGAUCGGCCACAUUGGAACUGAGACACGGUCCAA